rnacentral:rRNA from 1 species
ACGGAAGGCAGCAGUGGGGGAUAUUGCACAAUGGGGGAAACCCUGAUGCAGCGACGCCGCGUGAGCGAAGAAGUAUUUCGGUAUGUAAAGCUCUAUCAGCAGGGAAGAAAAUGACGGUACCUGACUAAGAAGCUCCGGCUAAAUACGUGCCAGCAGCCGCGGUAAUACGUAUGGAGCAAGCGUUAUCCGGAUUUACUGGGUGUAAAGGGAGCGCAGACGGUUUGCCAAGUCAGAUGUGAAAUCCCGGGGCUCAACCCCGGAACUGCAUUUGAAACUGUAGCCCUUGAGUAUCGGAGAGGCAAGCGGAAUUCCUAGUGUAGCGGUGAAAUGCGUAGAUAUUAGGAGGAACACCAGUGGCGAAGGCGGCUUGCUGGACGACAACUGACGCUGAGGCGCGAAAGCGUGGGGAGCAAACAGGAUUAGAUACCCUGGUA